rnacentral:lncRNA from 10 species
GACAGUCUUGCUCUGUUGCCCAGGCUGGAGUGCAGUGGCACAAUCUCAGCUCACUGCAACCUCCCCGUCCUGGGUUCAAGUGAUUCCCCUGCCUCAGCCUCCCAAAUAGCUGGGACUAUGGGCACAUGCCACCACACCCAGCUAAUUAUUGUGUUUUUAGUAGAGACGGGGUUUUGCCAUGUUUGCCCAGGCUGCUCUUGAACUCCUGGGCUCAACUCUGCCUCCCAAAGUUCUGGGGUUACAGGCA